rnacentral:tmRNA from 1 species
GGGGACGAAUCUGGUUUCGACUGUAAUGAUGUGUCCAUGAUUGCAUGCCGAGUUUCCGUUGUCUCGUAAAAAAUGGCGGACUAAAUUUACUCGCAAACAACAACUUAGCUCUCGCAGCCUAAAGCCUGCGGGCGUCCCUGAAGGUUCUGCUCCUCUGGGUCUUUCAAGGGGCGUAAUAAACAGAGGAUAGCAAAGGUUCAGUUCCCGGAGCCGGAGCGAAGCAACAGGGAAACCGAUUCCGGGAACGGUGUCCUUUCCUGAAACCGGAAUUUAAAUUCAAAGAAAGGAACAAGCAUGUAGAGGUCAUGGGUGUGUGUUGCAGGACGCGGGUUCGAAUCCCGCCGUCUCCAAAU